rnacentral:pre_miRNA from 1 species
AUUAACUUGAUCGAUGGUGUUCAGCACCAGGGACAGGUGUGUUUACUCGUGUGUGAAUGUUUUUCCAAUACCAGGGACAAGUCUGUUUGCCU